rnacentral:rRNA from 1 species
CGCACGGGUGAGUAACACGUAGGUAAUUUGCCUUCGGGUGGGGAAUAACUUGGGGAAACCCAAGCUAAUACCGCAUAAUGCAGCGGCACCAAAUGGUGACAGUUGUUAAAGCUUUAUGUGCCUGAAGAGAAGCCUGCGGCGGAUUAGGUAGUUGGUAAGGUAAUGGCUUACCAAGCCUGCGAUCCGUAUCCGGUCUUAGAGGACGGUCGGACACACUGACACUGAAUAACGGGUCAG